AGGCAUGGGGGGCGUGCUUACACAUGCGAGUCGAACGAUGAUCCCAGCUUGCUGGGGGAUUAGUGGCGAACGGGUGAGUAACACGUGAGUAACCUGCCCUUGACUCUGGGAUAAGCCUGGGAAACUGGGUCUAAUACCGGAUACGACCAUUCCACGCAUGUGGUGGUGGUGGAAAGCUUUUGUGGUUUUGGAUGGACUCGCGGCCUAUCAGCUUGUUGGUGGGGUAAUGGCCUACCAAGGCGACGACGGGUAGCCGGCCUGAGAGGGUGACCGGCCACACUGGGACUGAGACACGGCCCAGACUCCUACGGGAGGCAGCAGUGGGGAAUAUUGCACAAUGGGCGCAAGCCUGAUGCAGCGACGCCGCGUGAGGGAUGACGGCCUUCGGGUUGUAAACCUCUUUCAGUAGGGAAGAAGCGAAAGUGACGGUACCUGCAGAAGAAGCGCCGGCUAACUACGUGCCAGCAGCCGCGGUAAUACGUAGGGCGCAAGCGUUAUCCGGAAUUAUUGGGCGUAAAGAGCUCGUAGGCGGUUUGUCGCGUCUGCUGUGAAAGACCGGGGCUCAACUCCGGUUCUGCAGUGGGUACGGGCAGACUAGAGUGCAGUAGGGGAGACUGGAAUUCCUGGUGUAGCGGUGAAAUGCGCAGAUAUCAGGAGGAACACCGAUGGCGAAGGCAGGUCUCUGGGCUGUAACUGACGCUGAGGAGCGAAAGCAUGGGGAGCGAACAGGAUUAGAUACCCUGGUAGUCCAUGCCGUAAACGUUGGGCACUAGGUGUGGGGGACAUUCCACGUUUUCCGCGCCGUAGCUAACGCAUUAAGUGCCCCGCCUGGGGAGUACGGCCGCAAGGCUAAAACUCAAAGGAAUUGACGGGGGCCCGCACAAGCGGCGGAGCAUGCGGAUUAAUUCGAUGCAACGCGAAGAACCUUACCAAGGCUUGACAUGAACC
rnacentral:rRNA from 1 species